AACGAACGCUGGCGGCAUGCCUAGCACAUGCAAGUCGAACGAGACCUUCGGGUCUAGUGGCGCACGGGUGCGUAACGCGUGGGAACCUGCCCUUAGGUUCGGAAUAACUCCCCGAAAGGGGUGCUAAUACCGGAUAAUGUCUUCGGACCAAAGAUUUAUCGCCUUUGGAUGGGCCCGCGUUGGAUUAGCUAGUUGGUAGGGUAAAAGCCUACCAAGGCGACGAUCCAUAGCUGGUCUGAGAGGAUGAUCAGCCACACUGGGACUGAGACACGGCUCAGACUCCUACGGGAGGCAGCAGUGGGGAAUAUUGGACAAUGGGCGAAAGCCUGAUCCAGCAAUGCCGCGUGAGUGAUGAAGGCCUUAGGGUUGUAAAGCUCUUUUACCCGGGAUGAUAAUGACAGUACCGGGAGAAUAAGCUCCGGCUAACUCCGUG
rnacentral:rRNA from 1 species